ACCCUUUAAUGUUUGAUGUUCUAACGUGGACCCGUAAUCCGGGUUGCGGACAGUGUCUGGUGGGUAGUUUGACUGGGGCGGUCUCCUCCUAAAGAGUAACGGAGGAGCACGAAGGUUGGCUAAUCCUGGUCGGACAUCAGGAGGUUAGUGCAAUGGCAUAAGCCAGCUUGACUGCGAGCGUGACGGCGCGAGCAGGUGCGAAAGCAGGUCAUAGUGAUCCGGUGGUUCUGAAUGGAAGGGCCAUCGCUCAACGGAUAAAAGGUACUCCGGGGAUAACAGGCUGAUACCGCCCAAGAGUUCAUAUCGACGGCGGUGUUUGGCACCUCGAUGUCGGCUCAUCACAUCCUGGGGCUGAAGUAGGUCCCAAGGGUAUGGCUGUUCGCCAUUUAAAGUGGUACGCGAGCUGGGUUUAGAACGUCGUGAGACAGUUCGGUCCCUAUCUGCCGUGGGCGCUGGAGAACUGAGGGGGGCUGCUCCUAGUACGAGAGGACCGGAGUGGACGCAUCACUGGUGUUCGGGUUGUCAUGCCAAUGGCACUGCCCGGUAGCUAAAUGCGGAAGAGAUAAGUGC
rnacentral:rRNA from 1 species